ACUAAGCUUCAGCUUGUAUGAGACCGUACCGCAAACCGACACAGGUGGGCAGGAUGAAAAUUCUAAGGCGCUUGAGAGAACCCAGGAGAAGGAACUCGGCAAAUUAACACCGUAACUUCGGGAGAAGGUGUGCCCCGGUAGCGUGUAGAGACUUGCUCUUGAAGCGCGAUGGGGUUGCAGUGAAAUGGUGGCUGCGACUGUUUAAUAAAAACACAGCACUCUGCAAACACGGAAGUGGACGUAUAGGGUGUGACGCCUGCCCGGUGCCGGAAGGUUAAGUGAUGGGGUGCAAGCUCUUGAUCGAAGCCCCGGUAAACGGCGGCCGUAACAAUAACGGUCCUAAGGUAGCGAAAUUCCUUGUCGGGUAAGUUCCGACCUGCACGAAUGGCGUAACGAUGGCCACACUGUCUCCUCCUGGGACUCAGCGAAGUUGAAAUGUUUGUGAAGAUGCAAUCUCCCCGCGGCAAGACGGAAAGACCCCAUGAACCUUUACUGUAGCUUUGCAUUGGACUUUGAACCGGUUUGUGUAGGAUAGGUGGGAGACUGUGAAGCCGGGACGCUAGUUUCGGUGGAGUCAACCUUGAAAUACCACCCUGAUUUGUUUGAGGUUCUAACCUUGGUCCGUGAAUCCGGAUCGGGGACCGUGCAUGGUAGGCAGUUUGACUGGGGCGGUCUCCUCCCAAAAGGUAACGGAGGAGUACGAAGGUACGCUUAGGGCGGUCGGACAUCGCCCACAAAGUGCAAUGGCAAAAGCGUGCUUGACUUCGAGACCCACAAGUCGAGCAGGUACGAAAGUAGGUCAUAGUGAUCCGGUGGUUCUGUAUGGAAGGGCCAUCGCUCAACGGAUAAAAGGUACUCUGGGGAUAACAGGCUAAUUCCUCCCAAGAGUUCAUAUCGACGGGGGAGUUUGGCACCUCGAUGUCGGCUCAUCACAUCCUGGGGCUGUAGUCGGUCCCAAGGGUAUGGCUGUUCGCCAUUUAAAGUGGUACGCGAGCUGGGUUUAAAACGUCGUGAGACAGUUUGGUCCCUAUCUGCCGUGGGCGCUGGAAAUUUGAAGGGGGCUGCUCCUAGUACGAGAGGACCGGAGUGGACGAACCUCUGGUGUACCGGUUAUGACGCCAGUCGUAUUGCCGGGUAGCUAAGUUCGGAAGAGAUAAACGCUGAAAGCAUCUAAGCGUGAAACUCGCCUUAAGAUAAGAUUUCCCGGAGUCUUGAACUCCCUGAAGGGUCGUCGAAGACCACGACGUUGAUAGGUCAGGUGUGGAAGCGCAGUAAUGCGUU
rnacentral:rRNA from 1 species